UAGAAGUCACCCUGCUUCAACACUUCUUAACCACAUCAGGAGAGAGAUGUCUGUUUCAGUGAACUUGAUACUUCAGGAUGCAGAGAAACAGAAAUUGAAUACAUGUAAUAGGUCAUUGGCAGAGAGUGGAUCAAGAGAAUUCAAGGAUCAGAAUGUAAUAGGAGCAAGGUUUGGAGUCAGACAAUCAAUGAAAGAACUUUAUUGAGUUCUCCAAGGUAUUUAAUCUAUACAAUCAUAAGUAUACCAAAAGUCGAUAUAAGCAAGAGGAAAAAUGUGUUUCAAAGGAAAGGAGGUAAACCAUUUGAGAAUAGAGCCACGAAAGGGUCAGUUUGAUUUACAUAAUAAUAUUGACUGCAAAAGGAGACUCCUUUUUGGUGAGACCACUUCUGAGCUUGAAGCAGCUGUAAUGAAAAACGGAAAAAAGGUCAUGGCUGCCUUCCAAAUUUAGCAGAAGUGAUUCCUCCUCUAUGAAGGAACAGAAUUCCUUCACCACUAUGGUCAUGAUCGUCGCGGCCCUCAACCGCCCUUUCUGUUUCCUAUACGGUACUGACAUUUGUUAUAGAAGUCAUGUAGAGACAAUUGCAAAAUGAUUUUAAUUGGAAUUUCAGAUACAUGACUUGCAGAUUUAUCAGCUGUGCAAAUUUAGUCAAAUUGUUUAACUCUCCUGAGCUUGCAUCCCUUCAUCUUUAAAGUGGAGCCGAAUACGUCUACCCUGUAGGUUACACUAAAGGUUAACUGAGUUCACACAUGUAAAGACCAUCGUACAGCAUCUGUCCUGUGUAAACAAGAAAGGAUAGUUUUCAUGAUGAUAAUGAAGAUGAGAGUGAUGACAUACCCUCACUGUGGGGCCUUCAAAUCUUUGAAGCAAACUUUAGUAAUCUUGUUAUCUCCAGAGCCCAGGACUUUCACAUUGCAGAUUAUGACACAUCUCUGUUGAAUUUAAAAAUAUUGACUAUAAGUACCUACUCGGGAGGCAAUGUGUAGCAAUAAGAAAAAAGUGUAAGAAGAGGACAAAAAGACUACCUAUGGAAAGUUUCUGGAUACUAAAUCAACGUUCAAAAAUUCAUAGCGCCCCUGUAUUCUAAUAAUGAAGUGUCGGAAAAAGAAA